rnacentral:lncRNA from 1 species
CCAAACUGUUGGAGCUCUCUUUCUCCUGAGACAGGAAGGAGUUAAUUUUAAGGAAAUCACAUUUGAUAGAUGGAAGGGACAACAGAGAACAUUUAAUAGUCCAACUCCCUCAUUUUGUGGAAGAGUGAGAAGCAGAGAAAUAAAGUGACUAUGCUAGGGGAAGCAUUUUCCAAAGAGGAGAGACCAGGAUGGAAUGCCAUGAGGUGAAGGGGCUAGAAGAAGAGAAAAAUGGGAAAUCAAAAUUUUGGAAAACUGAAUGUUAAAAUAAAUAAAGUAUAAUGAAAAAGAAACA